CCUACGGGAGGCAGCAGUGGGGAAUAUUGCACAAUGGGCGCAAGCCUGAUGCAGCAACGCCGCGUGAGGGAUGACGGCCUUCGGGUUGUAAACCUCUUUUAGUAGGGAAGAAGGGCUUCGGCUUGACGGUACCUGCAGAAAAAGCACCGGCUAACUACGUGCCAGCAGCCGCGGUAAUACGUAGGGUGCGAGCGUUGUCCGGAAUUAUUGGGCGUAAAGAGCUCGUAGGCGGUUUGUCACGUCUGCUGUGAAAUCCCGAGGCUCAACCUCGGGCCUGCAGUGGGUACGGGCAGACUGGAGUGCGGUAGGGGAGAAUGGAAUUCCUGGUGUAGCGGUGGAAUGCGCAGAUAUCAGGAGGAACACCGAUGGCGAAGGCAGUUCUCUGGGCCGUAACUGACGCUGAGGAGCGAAAGCGUGGGGAGCGAACAGGAUUAGAUACCCUGGUAGUCCACGCCGUAAACGUUGGGCGCUAGAUGUGGGGACCUUUCCACGGUUUCCGUGUCGUAGCUAACGCAUUAGGCGCCCCGCCUGGGGAGUACGGCCGCAAGGCUAAAACUCAAAGGAAUUGACGGGGGCCCGCACAAGCGGCGGAGCAUGCGGAUUAAUUCGAUGCAACGCGAAGAACCUUACCAAGGCUUGACAUAACCGAGAACGCCCUAGAAAUAGGGAACUCUUUGGACACUCGGUUACAGGUGGUGCAUGGUUGUCGUCAGCUCGUGUCGUGAGAUGUUGGGUUAAGUCCCGCAACGAGCGCAACCCUCGUCGUAUGUUGCCAGCACGUGAUGGUGGGAACUCAUAUGAGACUGCCGGGGUCAACUCGGAGGAAGGUGGGGAUGACGUCAAAUCAUCAUGCCCCUUAUGUUCCUGAGCUGCAAACAUGCUACAAUGGCCGGUACAAAGGGCUGCGAUGUCGUAAGGCGAGC
rnacentral:rRNA from 1 species